rnacentral:misc_RNA from 1 species
GAUGAGAACGCAGCGAAAUGCGAUAAGUAAUGUGAAUUGCAGAAUUCAGUGAAUCAUCGAAUCUUUGAACGCACAUUGCGCCCCCUGGUAUUCCGGGGGGCAUGCCUGUCCGAGCGUCAUUACAACCCUCAAGCUCAGCUUGGUGUUGGGCCCCGCCGCCCCGGCGGGCCCUAAAGUCAGUGGCGGUGCCGUCCGGCUCCGAGCGUAGUAAUUCUUCUCGCUCUGGAGGCCCGGUCGUGUGCUCGCCAGCAACCCCCAAUUUUUUUCAGGUUGACCUCGGAUCAGGUAGGGAUACCCGCUGAACUUAAGCAUAUCAAUAAGCGGAGGA